rnacentral:lncRNA from 1 species
CGCAGGCUAUCUCCUUCCUUCACGAACACGCAGGGGGCGUACCACCUCCCCACGACCAAACCGGCACCACCUGCGCCUGAUAUCGGCAACUCCAACGCGGGCGUGCGGGCACGAAGGGCUUUGUCGAGCCCCCAGGCGUCGGUCAAGUCGAAGUCCGUGGGCUUCGAAGCAUAAAGCCUCCAGUCCUUUCUCCUCAGGGGCCAUGGAGCGAACCCAUCCGGAGCUACGGACUGCGCGGUGAACCUGCCUCUCUUGCAGACGAUCUCCACCUGCUGGUAGAUGUCCCUGUGAUCGAACUCUCUCGGCUUGACAUCGUUGACGCACUGGCAGAAGCAGCAUGUGGUCAUGUCUUCCUCCAGGGAGCAUGUAUACGCUUUCCUGCACAUGCAAUCGAAAUCAACCCAACAUUGUUGUGAGAAAACUACGGGAGGUGGGGGAGGGAUGGAAGGAGAUCGAGAGAGGUGCGCCACCCUUUCUUUUUGCCCUUUGCGACGAUGACGUAGUAGUGAUUGGAGGAGAACGAUUUGUAGAGGACGGGGAUGAACAGGGCCGGGAACCGGUGGGUGGUAGAGCUCUGGCCAUUGUGCUCCGUGUAGGUGAUGGUGAGGAUCCUGUUCUGAGGGAAGGGGAGCUCUCGAACCCUCGUGUCUUCACAGAGCCCCCAGCAGCAUGAGGGGUUUGGUUCAGCUCCCUCGUCCUGGAGAAGCAGAUAGCCUGAGUUGGGCCCUGCCGGUGGUGGUGGUUGAAUGGCGGCAGCACCAGCAGAGUUCUUGAAGACGGAGAGCGGCCUCGUCGUGUACAUCUCCUCGGCCCUGGUUGUUCCCGGAGAUGAGGUUUGUGGAGGUGAAGAUGGCUCUGAUACUGCUAUUAGUACACCAAGAUCUCUCGCUCUUUCUCCGAUCUUUCACAGUAGACCUUUCAAAUCUUUUCUCUGUUAUGAUCCAUUGAUGACAUCUUCUAAGAAGCUAACCUUUGGUAGAUUAUGACAAUGCCGUGGAGCUGUGAAGAAUAUGUGAAUGAUCAACUCGAUCCAACAAAUCAAUGAGAGAAAGAGUCAGAGAUGCGUGGGCAUAAUAUUUAAUGCUUCUUUUUUGAAAAUAUUGACAAUCUAACCUUACAAUUUGAGUCAUCGUAGCAUAAGAUGAAGAAUGCUUCUCCUCUUCAUCUUCAUAUCAGAGAGGUUCCAUCUGCAUCUUCGUGGAGAUGGUACCCAAACAAUCAACCGUAAGACGCCUUCAAAGAAAGAAAUCGGUUCACCAAUCAUUAAAGCAACAUGGAGAGCUUCCUUACAACUGCUAAAAGAAGAAAUAGUAAAAGGUCAGCUUCUUUUGCUUGCGAGGUCAUCGUUAUACGGUCCGAGAGAGAGGGAGAGACAGAGAGAGAGAAGCCUAGACAAAACCAAAGAGAUGAUGAUAAGGUUCGAAAAGUCCGCGUACUUGAUAUGAGGUGAUGGCAGUCACUGGCAGCGCCAUGCAUUCAACAACAUACCGGAGGAUGCGCUCAUCUCUCUCCGUGUGAUCGGAGCGUUGACCAGCUUCCCUCCGAGUUGCGUCUGAGAAGCUGCGGAGAUCACAGAACCUGCACCAAACUAAUGGUAGAAGAUAAGCCACCACAUUAAAGACCUGCUUGUUUGCAGUUCCAGCAGUCUCUCAUCUUCACAUGGAGCUCAUAGUGCCGGAGUCACGAUCGACAAGUCUUAGCAUCCUAAAAUCCGAAACAUGACAGAUGAAAUAAUAUUCAACAAUGUUCAAUGUAAAGCAGUAUCGAACCUCGCUUGGAUAUACCGUAAAAUGAUGAAAUAAUAUUCAACAAUGUUCAAUGUAAAGAAUUGUUGCUGCAACGAAAAAUCCAACAACUAAUUUGUCAAAGAGGUUACCACAAGAAAGUAAAGAAAGCUCAUGAAAUUGAUGAGGCAGAUAAUAGAGAACUCUAUUUCCUCAUAUUUCUUGAGGAUGCCAGCUAUAUAUUUUGAGCAACUAAAAUCCUCAUCUAAAAGAAUUAUUUUUGAAGUAAUAAGAACUAAUUUAUUGACAUACUUUUCUAUUUUGGAAGAGAAAUACAAACCCUUCCUGCAUCAUUGGUCCAGCCACACAGGAAAAACAUCAAAAACACACAACACCUCUGCUAGCAUAACCUUACUGUAAUCUCCAAAAGAACACUCAUCCAUUUGUUAAUAAACUAAAGGAAUCCUCAUACUUUCAAUCAAAUGUCCCAAAUAACAAUGAACAAAUAAUAGAUUUCACAGAUAUAACAACAUGAAAACAAAUAAAGAGAAGUUGAAAUUGUUUGUAUGUAGGGAUUACUCUUUCUUUUUUUAUUCUUUAUUUGAUUAUAAAAUCUAAAACAAUGAUUGAUGCCUUUUUUUUUUUCUUUCCACAAGUUACUGCUCUAAAGUUCUGAAGCUAGACUUUUUUUUUUUUGUAAGAAUACAACCUUUUGAUAUUUAGAAACUUAAAGAUGCAAUAAUAAGGAAUCCUAGACACUGGAUCACCUCUCUGAAGUUGUUAAGCUAAAUCUUUUCUAUAAAAAAGCAACCUUUUGAGAUUUAACUGAAAGAUACAAUAAUGAGGAUUCCUACAAUGAAGACAUUGCAUCACCUACAAAUUAUUAUUAUUAUUAUUAUUAUUAUUAUUAUUAUUAUUAUUGUGAUAAAUUAUCAAGAUCUUUAUUGAAAAAAAAGGAGAUAAUCUUAUAAAAUUAACACUAUGACCCAUUAUAUAGAUUAAAUAAAUAAAAAAGAUUAACACAAUUGUAUGAGCAACUCAAAAUUCGACAUGAUUUACAUGUAAAAAAGUAACCUUCUAAGAAAUUGUGAUGUGGUGUACUGUACAGUCUUUACAUGUAUUAGCAGAACAAGCAUAGGAAGUCUUUAUCUUAAAAAAUAGAAAAGUAGUUAGAUAUGUUCUCUUUUGUUCCCCCGUGCGAAAACAAGUUCAGUCAUUCUCAAGAAGCCAAAAUGUUUUUUUGUCUCUCAUAGAUUAUAUUAUCCAUCACACUCUCAUUUAAAGUGGUUCAGGGACAGUAGUUCAGAAACACAUCCACAACACAACCUAUUAAUUCUCUUACUUGAGAGGUAUAUUGACUAAUCAUUUAUCUCGAAAUUGAAGAUUAUUUUGUGUGUAAAAAGUCAUUAAUUCACGAAGCAUUCAGUCGAACACUUUGAGCUCAUAUCGGGAGACAUGUACUUUCUGCUGAUCCGAAAGUCACCUGUCACAUAUUAGAACCCUACAGUUCCAGUAAUGCUACAACAUAAGUGUUGAUUUCACAUGGAUUUGAUCGCGGGAAAGAACAAGAACGCACCACCAAGAUUCAAGCCAUUCGAAAUCAAGAAAGCUAAAAAGGCAAGAACACCACACCACCACCUCUUCUCUGCGAUAUAAGAUGCACGAACACAUAAUCUUGAGAAAGGCAAGGAACAUAGGGAGGCAAAGAAAGGGACGGACCUGCCUAGUUCUUCUCGGUGAGACCGGACACGAUCCACCGCCGUCGUGUUCGCAUUGGCCCCUCCCUGGUGACCGAUCUGACCGCGAUCGCGGAUAAGCCGCACGUCACUUCAGUUUGGGGCACCCUAAUCCCCGGAGAGUACCCACGCCUCGGAGCCCACAAAGCCCUCCCAUUCUCCCACAUCCAAAUGUGGCUUGGAGCCAACGUCACCCUCCCUCAUCGACGCUCCAUCGCCCCAAAUCACUUUGGUCAUUCUCCUCGAUGUAAACGCAUUCUUGGAAGACGAUAGCUUUAAGCAUUGAGCUGCUCUGCACAUGGAUCUCACGUGAUACCUUUUAUUCUAUUUGAAUCAGAUGCUAAUAGACUCAUGUUCACGAUUUGAAUUGGUUCAUUUCGAUUGGACCCGGUUCAGAUCGACCGGUUGGAUCCAAUCUGAUGGCUAUGAUUCUAUCAGAUUCUACUGAUGUAGUGAUGAGAAAUCUUUCUUUAUCCAUUAUUUUCAUUGUAUUACUCCGCCAAAUACAACUCAAUUUCAUGGGUGAACUUAUGAGCUCGGCCAUGGAGUCAAUUUUGACCAGUCAAUGCUUAAACAUACCAAUCAUCUCCAUCGAUAUAUGCAUUGCUUUAACAAAUCAGGAUUAGAAAAAGAACAUUAUUAUAUGAUGUAAGCACAUUGACUCGCCCGUAAAGGUUUCAUCGAGAAGUACUCGGCCAUUCAUAUUGCCCGAGAGAAGAAGCAGCAGCCACCAUUUUCGUGUGAUCAUCACACUAUAAGAGGUCUAGUGUCUCUACAUCAGGUUCAAGCAGCCCUGUGAUACCAAACACACUGCAAGUCCAAGCAGACCUGGAAGCGAUCAAAUCUUCAUUGCUCAAAGAAAGUGCUACUGCUUCUGCACAACCAUAUGAUCUUUCAGUGUUAGCUGAUACCGAUUUGUCAAACUACCCUGCGGAGGUUCCUGCAGUUGAUGACUCCGACAAACCAUAAUGUUAAUUGAUUUUAGUAGGUAGCGGAAGCGAAGCUACGAGGUCUUGAACUGCACUCCACCGGCUGUUCUUUGCUGCUGUGUUUGCAAAACUGGGAAGCCUACAGUUUCCCGUUGCUUCAGUGAAAGGUAAAUACUACUAUACCUUCAAUGAUUUUGCUUCUCGCUUGAAUGCUAGUCAGGAUUGUGAGCAUGUUUGUACAUUUUCUUUUAGUGUCAUUUAAUGGAAUACCUGCAAUGAUUUAUUUGUUGGUUGAAUGCUGGUGAGGAUUGUGAAUGCUGACAUGUGUGAUCGUUUUCUACCAUUGUCACUUGUUGUCAAGACUAAAUGAUGGUGCCUGUCGAUCGAGUUACCCCAUUCUUGCUGCUUCAUGUGACUGUUUUCCUAGCAUUACUAAUAGCCAGGAUCGAAAUAGCGUGUAUAUUUCUUGCCAAGAGAGCAUUUACUCGAACAUACAUGUGAUCUAACACCUCGAGUUGUAACACCUAAUGUCCGGUGUGGAGCAGUAAUAAACAUUUUUGUCUGUAUGUAUAUGUUCAUGUCUUUUAUUUUUAAUAUAAUACUUGUAUAUGUCCGUAUGUUUUAUUUUUAUUCAUAUUUUGGGCUACAUUAGGCUUAAUAGUCUCCAUUUAGUUGACUUUUGUGGUCAUUUCAGGUUUGUAAACAUAAGUUAUGUAUAGUCAUUACGUAGAGGCAAAAUUGUCCAGAAAUAAGUCAUCCAAAUAAUUAUUUUAAGGGUUUUCUAGCUCUACAGAGUGGUACGGAAUGUCAGCUAGUAUAACACCUAGGAGCUACCCAGGUGGCACAUGGCUAGAUGGGUAUUUGGAGUGGUGUCUAGGGCUGGAUUACCACAUUAUUCUAUGGUAGUGUCAUGUAGUCAUUUGCAGGGACUUUCGACUAUAGUGAACCACCUCAGACUAUUUCUCAUGUAAUCAUUCAGACCCUUCAAAGUCUAUGUUUAUAAUUUGCAUUACCUAUCAAGUAUUUGUUGAAAUUGCUACUUAUGGAUUCUAAGUUAAACGCUUUUUCUAACCCGUCUUUUUUGCAUAUCACAAGAGGUUUCGGGAAGGUUGACCCUUUAGGGAUGGAUACGCAAAAGUGCCGCACAACUUAGGGAUAGCUACCUAAGUCCAUGACAAAUUAUAUUAUAGUGGAAUAGGCACACUUAAAAAUACUUGGUAUAAAAAUGUGAGAGACCUAGCUAGGUGGCGUUGAGGGCAGCCAACACACAUAACCAUUUGCGAGAAACGGGUGUUGAGAUGUAGGGAAAGGAGUUGCUUAGAAGAGCAAGUAUCUGAAAUUGACAUUCAAAGGAAUAGCUAACCCUUUGCCCGAGAGGCUUCACGAGGACAAUCGAGCUGGAAAGAACAUAACAUACAAAAGUUGGGAUGGUUGAAUUCGAGCUACGACUCGACAUGGUAACCAAACUUAAUGGUACUUAAGGUAAGUGAGGUGUUUAGCAAAGGAUGAGAUCGUGAAAGGUGAGGUGAGUUGCUCAACGAUCGAAAGAGUUAUGCAAAACUCACAGAGGUGAGGGGAAUUGUUAAUUCAAAAAAUUCGGUAUCCAUGCAAAGGCUUGUAUGUACACAAUGGGCUGUCUAUAACCAUCCCAAGGCAAUUAAAACUUUGACGCUACGGAACAUUAAAACUUUUCCUUCAACAUGGGGAGGAUACAUCUAGAGAAAGCUAAAAUGUGUAGCAAGUUCAAUAUAUUACUAGGCCUUGAGGAGAAUAACAGGGGUUGCAUUGACGAAGAGUCAUAAUCUAGUAAGUUUGUUUAUAGGGAUAGAAUAGUGCAUAGUUUGUUUAGCAUGGCUGAGUAGUUUAAGAGGAUAGUGGUCUCCAAAACUUUUGGAGGGAAAGAUGCGAAAAAUUACUCCAAUAAGAGAGAUAUCCAAGAGGGAUAAGUCUCGAUUUGUCAGAUGGAGAAUCAUAUAUAACAAACUAUACAGAGGAGGGGUACCUCAAGACAAUAACUCUACAAAGCUCAACAAACUGAGUGAACGACGAGGAGUCAUCACAUGAUCUCACACGUAAUGUGUUAAGGAACGCAUUGCACGAUCAAGUGGGGGAGUGAUCCAAGAUAACAACAAACGAAGACACUUAGAAUCGAUAUGAAAAUCAGACUCAACAGUGUGUUGACCCGUGGAAUAAUGGGUGUGAAGGUCAUACUCAACUCAAUAUAAAAUGAGGAGUAGAGAUGAAGGGCAUAAAGUUUAUCCAAGAAAGAUUCAAAAUGCAAUAGGGAUUCACGGGAAAGAGACAUAGUGCAAUGGACCAUGAUAGAAUAAUUUGAGACAAUGCAACAUAUGAAAAUUUUUUUUACCUUCUUAACUCAUAAAGAGAAUGAACAAAAUAGAAUAUCCCGUAUCUCUUAAUUAUCUAACAAAAAGUUCAAAAAUAAUAUGAAAAAGGUACAAAUGGCAAGCCUGAAGUAAGAGUUCGGCGACCAUCAGAACGCCGGCAACGCCGUCAUUCCCACUUGGUUUGAAUCGUACCCGUGUGCUUGAAGUCAACUAUCAAGGCCGAGCUUCCAUCCAUCCUCCUCACCACAAACCUCUCCACCAACACGUAGCACCCAAAUUUCUUCCACGGGCUCACCCCUCCGUACUCCUCCGACCUCUCCACCUUCACUUCACCGCCGACCCACCCUCCCCUCCCCUGCUCCCACCUCAUUCUCUCCCAUACCGGGGAGCUCAGCCCCACCCUCUCUCCCUCCAAAUCAAGCGGCUUGUACCACACCACGCCGUCCUGUCCACCUGCGCCGUCUCGCGUCGCCUCCACGCCACCCAACACCGCGCCCUCCGCCCCAACAGUAGCCUUCACUUCCACGGUCCUCCGAUCGCCAUACAAGUUCUCGCACGCGAACACCUGUUCCCAGCGCUGCUCGAGGGUGAUAUCGUAGAAAGCCGAGCGCUCCAUUUGACGCCGCAGGCUAUCUCCUUCCUUCACGAACACGCAGGGGGCGUACCACCUCCCCACGACCAAACCGGCACCACCUGCGCCAGAUAUCGGCAACUCCAACGCGGGCGUGCGGGCACGAAGGGCUUUGUCAAGCCCCCAGGCGUCGGUCAAGUCGAAGUCCGUGGGCUUCGAAGCAUAAAGCUCCCAGUACUUACUCCUCAGUGGCCAUGGAGCGAACCCAUCCGGAGCUACGGACUGCGCGGUGAACCUGCCUCUCUUGCAGACGAUCUCCACCUGCUGGUAGAUGU